UCUAUUUUUGUGAAAGGAGAGCGGUGGAUUUUAACAGGGGUUACCUUAUGUUUUUGUUUUAAUUGUCCGUUAUUAGACUUUGUAUGCAAUCUUGCACCAUGAGUGGGCAUUGUUUCUGUAUGCAGACAUAUUGGCGAGCAUUGGAAGGAGGGCAGUCUGAAUGGGGGUUUGAGUUCGGUUUUGGAUGUUAUUUCUUACUCGUUUGGGUUUGAUGAGAUCUGGAACUAUUAUUGGAACAAUGUUUUAUGCAGGACCUAUUCCAAAAUAGUCUGUUUAUGAAGUCUCAGAGUGUUGGAUGGCAACGGGCUGCCUGUUUUAAAGAGGGGUUUAAUAUAUCUUAGCCUAUGUCUUGAUCUCCUAUUUCUUGUGUUUUGCGAUAUUGUUUGAGCAAUUAAUUAUGCAGACGCCUUUUUGUGUCGGAUGGAGUCCAACUCAUUAUAGGAGAGCAGCCAACUUUUGAGAGGGGGUCUUUGGCUUACGGUUUUUUUUUUUUUUUUCUUUUGUUGGCGUGAUAGAGAUAUUUUAUAGUUAUUUGAGCAAUGUUUUUUGUAUGCAGACACGUCCCCACAUUAGGUUGUAUGUGGUGUGCAAGUUUAGUGGGGGAGAAUGGGCUGCUUAUGAAAGGGGGUUUCCAUAGUUUGCCUUAUGAAUUUAUUUCAAGUUUUUUGUGAGUUUUGAGAUGCUGAACCAUUAUACUCACUGUUUAUUUGCAGAUGUGUCCCAAACUUUUCUUUUGCCUCACUCAGUUGAGUGAAAAAUGGGCUGCCUGCUUUUAGGACGAA
rnacentral:lncRNA from 1 species